rnacentral:rRNA from 1 species
GGGUUGUGAGGUUAAGCGACUAAGCGUACACGGUGGAUGCCCUGGCAGUCAGAGGCGAUGAAGGACGUGCUAAUCUGCGAUAAGCGUCGGUAAGGUGAUAUGAACCGUUAUAACCGGCGAUUUCCGAAUGGGGAAACCCAGUGUGAUUCGUCACACUAUCAUUAACUGAAUCCAUAGGUUAAUGAGGCGAACCGGGGGAACUGAAACAUCUAAGUACCCCGAGGAAAAGAAAUCAACCGAGAUUCCCCCAGUAGCGGCGAGCGAACGGGGAGCAGCCCAGAGCCUGAAUCAGUGUGUGUGUUAGUGGAAGCGUCUGGAAAGGCGCGCGAUACAGGGUGACAGCCCCGUACACAAAAAUGCACAUACUGUGAGCUCGAUGAGUAGGGCGGGACACGUGGUAUCCUGUCUGAAUAUGGGGGGACCAUCCUCCAAGGCUAAAUACUCCUGACUGACCGAUAGUGAACCAGUACCGUGAGGGAAAGGCGAAAAGAACCCCGGCGAGGGGAGUGAAAAAGAACCUGAAACCGUGUACGUACAAGCAGUGGGAGCACGCUUAGGCGUGUGACUGCGUACCUUUUGUAUAAUGGGUCAGCGACUUAUAUUCUGUAGCAAGGUUAACCGAAUAGGGGAGCCGAAGGGAAACCGAGUCUUAACUGGGCGUUAAGUUGCAGGGUAUAGACCCGAAACCCGGUGAUCUAGCCAUGGGCAGGUUGAAGGUUGGGUAACACUAACUGGAGGACCGAACCGACUAAUGUUGAAAAAUUAGCGGAUGACUUGUGGCUGGGGGUGAAAGGCCAAUCAAACCGGGAGAUAGCUGGUUCUCCCCGAAAGCUAUUUAGGUAGCGCCUCGUGAAUUCAUCUCCGGGGGUAGAGCACUGUUUCGGCAAGGGGGUCAUCCCGACUUACCAACCCGAUGCAAACUGCGAAUACCGGAGAAUGUUAUCACGGGAGACACACGGCGGGUGCUAACGUCCGUCGUGAAGAGGGAAACAACCCAGACCGCCAGCUAAGGUCCCAAAGUCAUGGUUAAGUGGGAAACGAUGUGGGAAGGCCCAGACAGCCAGGAUGUUGGCUUAGAAGCAGCCAUCAUUUAAAGAAAGCGUAAUAGCUCACUGGUCGAGUCGGCCUGCGCGGAAGAUGUAACGGGGCUAAACCAUGCACCGAAGCUGCGGCAGCGACGCUUAUGCGUUGUUGGGUAGGGGAGCGUUCUGUAAGCCUGCGAAGGUGUGCUGUGAGGCAUGCUGGAGGUAUCAGAAGUGCGAAUGCUGACAUAAGUAACGAUAAAGCGGGUGAAAAGCCCGCUCGCCGGAAGACCAAGGGUUCCUGUCCAACGUUAAUCGGGGCAGGGUGAGUCGACCCCUAAGGCGAGGCCGAAAGGCGUAGUCGAUGGGAAACAGGUUAAUAUUCCUGUACUUGGUGUUACUGCGAAGGGGGGACGGAGAAGGCUAUGUUGGCCGGGCGACGGUUGUCCCGGUUUAAGCGUGUAGGCUGGUUUUCCAGGCAAAUCCGGAAAACUAAGGCUGAGGCGUGAUGACGAGGCACUACGGUGCUGAAGCAACAAAUGCCCUGCUUCCAGGAAAAGCCUCUAAGCAUCAGGUAACAUCAAAUCGUACCCCAAACCGACACAGGUGGUCAGGUAGAGAAUACCAAGGCGCUUGAGAGAACUCGGGUGAAGGAACUAGGCAAAAUGGUGCCGUAACUUCGGGAGAAGGCACGCUGAUAUGUAGGUGAAGCGACUUGCUCGUGGAGCUGAAAUCAGUCGAAGAUACCAGCUGGCUGCAACUGUUUAUUAAAAACACAGCACUGUGCAAACACGAAAGUGGACGUAUACGGUGUGACGCCUGCCCGGUGCCGGAAGGUUAAUUGAUGGGGUCAGCGCAAGCGAAGCUCUUGAUCGAAGCCCCGGUAAACGGCGGCCGUAACUAUAACGGUCCUAAGGUAGCGAAAUUCCUUGUCGGGUAAGUUCCGACCUGCACGAAUGGCGUAAUGAUGGCCAGGCUGUCUCCACCCGAGACUCAGUGAAAUUGAACUCGCUGUGAAGAUGCAGUGUACCCGCGGCAAGACGGAAAGACCCCGUGAACCUUUACUAUAGCUUGACACUGAACAUUGAGCCUUGAUGUGUAGGAUAGGUGGGAGGCUUUGAAGUGUGGACGCCAGUCUGCAUGGAGCCGACCUUGAAAUACCACCCUUUAAUGUUUGAUGUUCUAACGUGGACCCGUGAUCCGGGUUGCGGACAGUGUCUGGUGGGUAGUUUGACUGGGGCGGUCUCCUCCUAAAGAGUAACGGAGGAGCACGAAGGUUGGCUAAUCCUGGUCGGACAUCAGGAGGUUAGUGCAAUGGCAUAAGCCAGCUUGACUGCGAGCGUGACGGCGCGAGCAGGUGCGAAAGCAGGUCAUAGUGAUCCGGUGGUUCUGAAUGGAAGGGCCAUCGCUCAACGGAUAAAAGGUACUCCGGGGAUAACAGGCUGAUACCGCCCAAGAGUUCAUAUCGACGGCGGUGUUUGGCACCUCGAUGUCGGCUCAUCACAUCCUGGGGCUGAAGUAGGUCCCAAGGGUAUGGCUGUUCGCCAUUUAAAGUGGUACGCGAGCUGGGUUUAGAACGUCGUGAGACAGUUCGGUCCCUAUCUGCCGUGGGCGCUGGAGAAUUGAGGGGGGCUGCUCCUAGUACGAGAGGACCGGAGUGGACGCAUCACUGGUGUUCGGGUUGUCAUGCCAAUGGCACUGCCCGGUAGCUAAAUGCGGAAGAGAUAAGUGCUGAAAGCAUCUAAGCACGAAACUUGCCCCGAGAUGAGUUCUCCCUGACUCCUUGAGAGUCCUGAAGGAACGUUGAAGACGACGACGUUGAUAGGCCGGGUGUGUAAGCGCAGCGAUGCGUUGAGCUAACCGGUACUAAUGAACCGUGAGGCUUAACCUUACAACGCCGAAGGUGUUU